rnacentral:rRNA from 1 species
UACGGAGGGUGCAAGCGUUAUCCGGAAUCAUUGGGUUUAAAGGGUCCGCAGGCGGUCUUAUAAGUCAGUGGUGAAAUCUCGUAGCUUAACUAUGAAACUGCCAUUGAUACUGUAGGACUUGAAUUCGGUCGAAGUGGGCGGAAUAUGACAUGUAGCGGUGAAAUGCGUAGAUAUGUCAUAGAACACCGAUAGCGAAGGCAGCUCACUAGGCCUGGAUUGACGCUCAGGGACGAAAGCGUGGGGAGCAAACAGGAUUAGAUACCCUGGUAGUCCACGCCGUAAACUAUGAUUACUCGUUAUUGGCGAUAUACUGUCAGUGACUAAGCGAAAGUGAUAAGUAAUCCACCUGGGGAGUACGAUCGCAAGGUUG